rfam:Corvus brachyrhynchos isolate BGI_N302 unplaced genomic scaffold scaffold94, whole genome shotgun sequence.
GGCUGGUCCGAUGGUAGUGGGUACACAGAAAUUAUUACUGUCAGUUAAACUACCCUAACUCUAUUCCACCUCACUGCUAACCUCGACUGGUCUUUU